rnacentral:sRNA from 1 species
GGGGAGUUGGUUGCGUAAGUUAACUACUAACGGGUGCUAACCCGUCACAUAAGCAGAAGAUAUUGAUUCUUAAAGAUCUGAUCAUAUAAGCAGUGUACAAAUGUGCUUGAUACAUUCAAAUCAAUCUCAAAAUUGAACUUAUCUGAGAAGCUUGCACAGACUCAAUCUUCUAGAUGUCAAUUCUCAUGAUUAUAACAGAAUUUUCACUGAUUUUGUUUGUGUAGAGACUUUAAAAAGAGUUUUGAACAAGAUCUGAAAGCAUUUCAGUCAUUCUUCUUGAAAUAUGAUUGAAUGAUUUUGAUGACAAUAGAGUGAACAGACUUUGAUGAUGAUUGAAAUGAGAUGAGAGUAUCAAAUGAAUUUUGACUCACAGUGUGUAUUAAUUGAUGUUCAUCACAAGCAG